CAGCUGGAGGACCUGCAGGCAGAAAACACAGUUCAGUCUGUUCGACUUAACUUGAUGGAGUCCAGACUGACAGACAGCCACAACAACACUGGAGCUCUGGAGGUCAGACUGAGAUCCACUGAGUCCCGGCUGGAGAAUCACACUGCAG